CGGGAGCCACCUGUGCACAUCUUCUCAGUCCCCACGGCCCCGGUGCAGGCCUGCCAAGAGAAGGAUCCCCGCGGAAACGUCUCGACUGACUCAGUCCCUUUCUGCACACCUGCUCUUCCCUGGGCGCGCUCUCGCCUUACUUAUUCCUGUGUGGUUCAGGCGCUGCGGAAGGAGAAGGCACCUAGACUGCACUGGGAAGGCUCCUGGAGUUGACCUGGAGCGCCAGGAAAGGUAUAUUUCCACACUGCUCGUAAAUUUUCUGCGCGGUCCCCAGAGCGCCCCCCAUGAGGCACCUGCAUCAGCUCCGGGCAGAGCAGAUGUGGA
rnacentral:lncRNA from 10 species